GAUGAAGAACGCAGCGAAAUGCGAUACGUAAUGUGAAUUGCAAAUUCAGUGAAUCAUCGAGUCUUUGAACGCACAUUGCGCCCCCUGGUAUUCCGGGGGGCAUGCCUGUCCGAGCGUCAUUGCUGCCCUCAAGCACGGCUUGUGUGUUGGGCCCGUCCUCCGAUCCCGGGGGACGGGCCCGAAAGGCAGCGGCGGCACCGCGUCCGGUCCUCGAGCGUAUGGGGCUUUGUCACCCGCUCUGUAGGCCCGGCCGGCGCUUGCCGAUCAACCCAAAUUUUUAUCCAGGUUGACCUCGGAUCAGGUAGGGAUACCCGCUGAACUUAAGCAUAUCAAUAAGCGGAGGA
rnacentral:misc_RNA from 1 species